UUCAGUUAUUUUCCUGGAGCCUUGGCUGACGAAAAGUGCUAACGUUGAAAAUAAGAUCUAUUUUAUAUGGACGAACGUGUGGUAUACAGUUAAAGGGCACUUUCCCAAAAUGCCGAGACAAUUUCACAUAAUAAUUUUGCUACAAACUAGUUUUCGCUAGUAUGCGACUGCUUGUGCCGUACCGUUUUUCAUUUCAACUCACCCGUCACAACUGUUACAAGUAUGCUUCUGCUCACCAGUAGUGAUUAGUGUUGAUCCAGAUGAUAACCUUCAGUGAAAUGCCGGUGUUGAAGCGCCUUGUUGUUUUGGUGCAUUGUUAAGCGUAUUUUGCUUGACAGACAAACCAGUAAGCAGAUUUGACUAACAAACGGACAUCAUUGGAAUGACCUCAGACAGUGCCAAUCAGAUUUACACCACGAAAAAUAGAAUUUCCUGGUUUUAAUCAAAUCUACACUUAGUCGAUAAAAUUGCUGAAUGCAGUUCCACCGUCAGAUCUUGUAUUAAAAUUCUGAAAAAAUGAAUGCUUUUCUUGAUGAACUACUGCCAAAACUGCCGUCCGAAGAAAACAUUCUGUGGGAAGUAAAUCGCAACACCUCAGAAGAGACUCUCCAAAAGAAGUGUGAAAUAUCGGGAAAAAUCACAUUCAAGCAGCUCCGGCAACAUAUCAGCAGCGUUUCUAGUCGGAUACAAGGAAGAAAAUCAGAAACGAUUUGUCACUAGCGAAAAAUGCUUCGCCCGUUAGAGCGAUUUCAGAAAGUUUCACGUGCCUAUCCAAACCAUGUUUGACGAUGAUUUUAUGAAAGUUUGCAGGGCAGUUCAAAUCAACAAGUUGAGAAGGUCUGAGGGAGGCUAUGUAAAGGAUGUGUUGGGAAUAUUCAUUAAAAAGGCGGAAGGCGGUUUAAUUCAAUCAAUUUCCUUUUGAUUAUAUUUACUACUGUAGCUUGCAGGUGCUAUAAUCUAGGCUAAAUCGCCAGUUACCCCAAUCAAUCCGAUAUCCAUCACGAACAUCUCACAAGUAGCCAAGGCCAGUGGUUAUCCGGACGUUUCUAUAGGUAGAACCUUGUGUGAGCACAAUGAACGAUUUCCUUAUCCGGGAUGAUGCAUUAGAAGAACUGCGUAAUACAGGCUGAUAAUAAUAAGGCGUAAUAUAAGGCUGAUAGUCAAAUUAAUUGGCUUAACAUAUGUAAGUGUGACACAGUUAUUCUGAGUAGUACUUUUAUUUUGUAAAAACAUUGCUUCAAGCGUAAUUCCCACUAUAUUGGGCUCUACAUAGGACGAAAUACAACCGGAACUCGUUCGCGCGUCGGGUUUCAUUUGUUGAAGGUAUGUUCAUAAGACCGUACUUCUCAGACAGACUUGACACGUCAGGUAACACAGUUCGCUCAGCAGCCAUCUUUUUCAUACGCUGAUUUUUUUCUAAAUAAACUGUCAACGUAUUCUAAAUUCUUUAUACUCUAAAAUAGCCAACAUUCCCCAAAUCAACAAAGCGAACGCCGGAUUGAACAAACUAACAUUUAUUGAUAAAACGAACUGAUUAGGCUCGCAGUACAAACCGGUAGCUUAAGCGGACUUCCAAUGAUAAUUGCACGCUUUUUUUAUUUGGACAGAAAUUGAAUUUACUUGUACGGUUUCAGUUCAUCGUGGAAUAUCCUUUUAAGGGCCAGUACUUCGAAGUUGCGAUCAUGUUGAUAAACGGGUAAGAUGCUGAACGAACAUCAAUUCGACAGUAUCAUUUUCAACUGACUUGUCCGGUAACGUGAUCACUUAUGUAAGUUCUCGCCGUGUUCUUAAUUUAUCGUCCAUGUUUUACCCUAAUAUGCCUGAUUCUUCCAUGUCCCAAUCGUUUGUGGAGUACCGAACAAAUUGUUGCGUAUCUACGAAUUGUGUUGAUUAGGUUCAACACGAUGUUAAUUAAUUCGUGAUAUUUUGCACAGCAGUGAACCUCACGAGUUCAACAGAAUAAUCAGAGAACGCAGCGUUAAUUGUCUAGUUUAGAGACUUUAGUGAUAGAGGUCCAAUUUUAAUGCGGAUUUUUGCCAAAACGGUGUAUUUUAACCUGAAUAAACCGAAUCCGAGAGCGGAAAUGUAACAUUAUUAACCAAAGUUUGGUAAACUGAAAAAAAUAAUUUGUGCUUAAUAAUACCCAUAAUAGCGACAGUGAUUUAACCAAUGAGCUUAUGCUGGGAGCUAGUGUGAUGCGGCUUGGCCGCAUAUCCGAGGCCAAGGAUCCGAAGUGGCGCAAAGCCGCUGAGGAUCUGUUGGACGAGACAUUGAUUAACCCGUAGUUGGAAUUGCAAGCGAACCUGUGAUCCUCUCGUGUACCCGGUUUACUCAAACAUAGGGGCUAUAGCUAGUUAAAAGCCGACUGAGCGGUAGCGUAGUAAGUGUUCGGUUGACUAAUGUGGCUACGCCACAUCGCUUUCUGGUGCACUGUCCGACUUCGCUACCCCAAAUCCUUCGGAUCCUUGGCCGCGGAUAUGCGGCCAAGCCGCAUCACACUAGCUCCCAGCAUAAGCUCAUUGGUUAAAGCACUGUCGCUAUUAUUUUAUCAGUUUACCAAACUUUGGUUAAUAAUUUUACAUUUCCGCACUCGGAUUCGGUUUAUUUAGGUUAAAAUUAACCUAUCAAUAAAGUCUCUAAACUAGACAAUUACCAACGCAGCAUUGAACUUCUAAAGCAGCGUUCGCUAGAUUGAAGGAAUACCGGUGACGAUAGCAAAAUGGUUUUGGUAUGUCUAUUGCUACAAGACUGGUUGGAUCGGCUGCUAUUCAUCCUGCGAUUGCUCCAUCAAUAUCUACUGAAACAGGAGUAAGGUUCCAUUAUUACUGUCUAGUUUUGCUAGAAGAUUCACAGUAAAUAUUUGUAACCUUAUACAUACUCACGAUACAAUCAAUGCUGGCCGGCAGCAGUUUACAUCGCAUGGUACCAAAUUUUUCACAAAAAACCUAAACAAAUGUUGUCAAAAAACAGACCUAAGAACGACAUGCUUUGAUCGAAUCUUUCAAAACGUGUUGCCAUUUCGUACUGUUUUUCAGUAUUGGCAACUUGUCAAACAAUAUUCAUGCAUAGGGUUCUUUAAAUCUAGUUUUCGGUGAGUCAUAAAAUGAUCACCCUUUUGUAUGGAACCUUGGCGUAUUUAAUUUGUAUUUGAUUGUACUCACUGUAGUAGCCCUUCGCUAUCACGCAACAAUUCAAACAGCGAAAUAAAGUGCUUAUUCGUAGAAACCUU